rnacentral:rRNA from 1 species
GACGAACGCUGGCGGUGUGCUUAACACAUGCAAGUCGAACGGUAAGGCCCUUUCGGGGGUACACGAGUGGCGAACGGGUGAGUAACACGUGAGUAACCUGCCCUCAUCUCUGGGAUAACAGUCGGAAACGGUUGCUAAUACUGGAUAUGAGCUUGCAAGGCAUCUUGUGGGUUGGAAAGAUUUUUUUGGUUGGGGAUGGACUCGCGGCCUAUCAGCUUGUUGGUGGGGUAGUGGCUCACCAAGGCUUCGACGGGUAGCCGGCCUGAGAGGGCGACCGGCCACAUUGGGACUGAGAUACGGCCCAAACUCCUACGGGAGGCAGCAGUGGGGAAUAUUGCACAAUGGACGGAAGUCUGAUGCAGCAACGCCGCGUGCGGGAUGACGGCCUUCGGGUUGUAAACCGCUUUCAAUUGUGACGAAGCUUUUUGUGACGGUAGCAGUAGAAGAAGCACCGGCUAACUACGUG